GGGAKGGAGAUGGSCAUGCGUGUCAUWAGCUAGUUGGCGGGGUAACGGCCCMCCCAAGGSGGACGAUGAYUAGGGGAUCUGAGAGGAUGGCCCCCCMCMCCCUGGGUACUGAGMCACGGACCCAGACUCCUUACGGGARGCAGCAGUAAGGAAUAUUGGUCAAUGGAGGCAACUCUGAACCCAGCCAUGCCGCGUGCAGGAAGACUGCCCUUAUGGGUUGUAAACUGCUUUUAUUCGGGAAUAAACCUUUAUUACGUGUAAUAAGCUGAAUGUACCGAAGGAAUAAGGAUCGGCUAACUCCGUGCCAGCAGCCGCGGUAAUACGGAGGAUCCAAGCGUUAUCCGGAUUUAUUGGGUUUAAAGGGUGCGUAGGCGGCCUGUUAAGUCAGGGGUGAAAGACGGUAGCUCAACUAUCGCAGUGCCCUUGAUACUGAUGGGCUUGAAUGGACUAGAGGUAGGCGGAAUGAGACAAGUAGCGGUGAAAUGCAUAGAUAUGUCUCAGAACACCGAUUGCGAAGGCAGCUUACUAUGGUCUUAUUGACGCUGAGGCACGAAAGCGUGGGGAUCAAACAGGAUUAGAUACCCUGGUAGUCCACGCCCUAAACGAUGAACACUCGCUGUUGGCGAUACACAGUCAGCGGCUAAGCGAAAGCGUUAAGUGUUCCACCUGGGGGAGUACGCUCGCAAGAGUGAAACUCAAAGGAAUUGACGGGGGCCCGCACAAGCGGAGGAGCAUGKGGGUUUAAUUCGAUGAUACGCGAGGAACCUUACCCGGGCUUGAAAGUUAGUGAAUGAUCUAGAGAUAGAUCAGUGAGCAAUCACACGAAACUAGGUGCUGCAUGGCUGUCGUCAGCUCGUGCCGUGAGGKGGUUGGGGUUAAGUCCCGCAACGAGCGCAACCCCUAUGUUUAGUUGCCASCACGUUAAGGUGGGGGACUCUAAACAGACUGSCUGUGGCAAMCARRGAGGGAAGGAGGGGGACGACSUCMAGUCAUCWUGGSC
rnacentral:rRNA from 1 species